GCUUUAUUGGAACACAGCCACGUGCAUUCAUUUAUGUGUUGUCUGUGGCUGCUUUUGUGCCACAAUUGCAGAGUCGAGUAGUUGUGAGAGAGACCGUGGGGCCCACACAGAAUAUUUACUUUUGUCUCUAUAUGUUUUUCACAUUAGCGAUGCCAAUCAACCUGACACCAUAAACCUCCCUGAGAAGUCCUUGCCUACGACUGCUUGUUGAGGCAAAUGGCUGCAGAAAGUUACUGACAGGUGUCCUUGUUCUAUGCCACGUGUGUCUAAUUUGACUUGUACUAGACACAUGAUUGAAGAUCUGAUCAGUGACGUGUGUCUCUCCUCACAUCUAAUCAGGUUCACCUUUAUGAGGAUCUUAACUCGCUAUGUGGGUAGGAAAUUAUUCAUUGCUGCAGCGGGUAUAAGCUAAAAAAAUCCUGAGCCCCCCCACAACCGACUGGACAGAUCCUCUCUUGGCCAAGGAGACCCCACAGUAAACUUAAGAACUGGGUUCCCAGCCAUGAUGGAAAGGGAGGCAAAACACAUCUCCUUAUACCCCACCCUUUUGUGGUUUAGACACAAUAACUCAUCAGCAUUAAUGUUAAAAUAGGGAUCAUCAGACUGACAAUAGAAUAUCAAAUUAUAAACAGUACUUAAGGCCAUACCAUGGAAGGGUUAAGUCAUGCAGGCUACACCUAAAUAAUAAACUACGUUCUAACUGCCACAAGAGUUUUAUUUUUCUCUAGCAGCUGAACAAGCACUGGCUUCAAGUUAAACAAUAUGAAAACAAUGACAAUUCAUCCAGCCCACAGACACUGACUGAUCCCCUGUUCCACCAGCCAUGACUACAGCUUCGGUUGGACAAGAGACUGAUUUCAGGAACUUUCUCCAGAUAAGAAGACCACCACCAACCAUGGACUGGUUCUGGCCAGUUUACAGAGGCUGUGCAGUUGAGUGCCUUCAUGUCCUGAAAAGACUUUAUGACAUAUUAUGCCUAAUUGUCAUAUAUUGAAAUAUUAAGUCUCCACCCUAAGGUGAACAUGGGUCUUAUGUUACAUGCAUGCUUGUUCAAUAUGCAUGUGUGGGGACCACCUUUAUGAAUAUGUAUGUUCAGGCAACCCAGUCAGCAUAAAGCUCCUGCCCUAACCCCUACUCCUUUGAAAUGCUUGUCUCUGGUCUUGGCUGGUGGCUGUAUUUCCCAGCCUACCGGAUGGCCACCUUGCAGGAUGUAAUCCCUCACAAGAAAUAGUCUCCCCUCUCUUUUCCAAAUCUAUACAUUUUUUUUUUUAGGUUAACAGGUGCCAAAGGAAAAUAAAAAAUGCAGAGAGAGGGGACAAUGCACAUCUAUCACGAGGCAGAAGCAGCCACCGGGAUGCUGACAUUGUGAGGGUGAAGGGCAAUCAGCUGUCCUGAGGCAGAGGAGAGCAGAGUUGAGAGUCAAGCACUAGGGUGGAGAUCAGAAAACACUCCAUAGAAGGGGCUGCAGGAAGACCUGGUCCCCAAGCUGCUUUGUGCCCUGAAGCACAUGUGUGCCUCCUGAGCCAGAGAGUCCCAAUUCCUGCAGGAUUCCCGACCCUGUGGGAGUCCCGCUGGUAGACAGGGAUAGUGACCGUUCUUUGGCAGCAAGAGUAGGACGUCUCUCAGUGCACGGAUGCUCUGGUCUUACCAGCGUGGGAGGCUCCCACACACACCACGCACAUGUGGCUCAGCUCGGGCUGGUCCCCACACCCCUAUGCACCUGAAUCUUACUCUUCAAGACAUCCCACUUGGGAACCUUCCCAGAUCUUCCUGGGUUCUCUUGUUCUUCCUGACCAGUAAUGCAUCUUCCCUCCAACCUACCCUGUGACCAGUGGCUCUCUACUUUUCACUGACUUUUUUUUUUUGUUUUUUUUUAAAGUCCCCCAUUACAGGUUUGAAAUGUGACUUGAAGAAUGAGGCUUUUGUUUUGUUUUGUUUUGUUUUUGUCCCUGUCAAUCCCAGCAGAGGCCUUGCACGUGGUCAGAGCUUGAGAUCACAGACGGUCAGGUCAUCCUGCUCUGACAAGACCACCCCACCCCUACCCACUAUGGCCAUUUUACAGAGCAGAAGACCGAGGCCCAGAGGAGUGAUGAGAUUUGACAUUAGUCUGCCGAGUCUCAUCUUGUCUGGGACAGGAAGAGCCGAUGUCCCUGGUGGGUUCCCGUUUAAAGCCCCAGUCUCCUUCACACUCAUAAAUCCCUUCUCCACACUUUGGUUGAGGGAACCUGAGUUAAUUUCAAGGGCUUUCAAUGACCAUUUGCAAUUAACUGCAUGGGAAAUAUCUUCAGUCAAUUAGCUUUGGCACUUUUCCAGGGCUGUCAACAACUGCUCUGGAGAAAUCAGACUUAAUUAUCUUGUUGUCUUUUCUUCUUUGUUUUUUAAUGUUAAUCUCAUUUGUGAGGGUUUCUGUAAACAACUAGGUAAGCAGAGACUUAAUUUGAAUGAAGACAAUUUGGACAAAGUAACCAUAUUUUACCAACAACUGGAAGGCUUUAAAAACCUCAGUUGAGUCUGUCCUAUAGUUUGUGGGAUCUCCAUGUCCUCCUAAAAUCACUAGAAUCCCGCUCGUAGGGAACAGAAAUUUAGCCCUAUAGGGAUGCUCACUUUUUCUCUUGACUUGUUUUUUGAGCAGCAAAGAGCGCAGAAGAAGAACUCAGGAGGGGACAGCCAGCGUUUUGUUUGGGUUCACCCUCUUCAGAUCCAAUAAUAAACUUACUGAAUUAAACUAAACAGCCCUUUAAUAGCAGUAACUGAUGGCUGCUUAGGGAGGAAGCAAGAUGCAGCACAGCAUUUAAAAACAAGACACAAGGAAGAUUAGCAGGGGUUUGCAGUGAGCGGCUGUCUCUUCUGCUUGCUUACCCAUGCAUUCUGCCUCCAGGAACAGCAUCCUCAUUUUCGUUAGCAACCAGUCCCCUGCCAGGACUAGGAAAAUCCUUGGCGUUUGAGGAAGGAUGAGCCCCCAGCACCCAGUUCUAGUUAUGGGCAGUUGGUCAAUUCCACUGCAUUGUCUGGCCACAGUUGUUGGCUUGGGAUGGAAAAAUGACCCAGGCUGGGCCAGUGAGGGUCAAUCAUGGGACGUUUUCUGAGCUGCCAUUUUUCUGUGGUUGGUGCUGGGUUGUAAACAUGAGUAUCUGGUCCUGUUACCAGCUAUGUUGCCACUUCAUGAGAAGAGUCAGCUUCAUGAGAGUGAAGGAAAAACAAAGGAAAGCAGAGGAGAGAGGGAGAAAGAGAGUUUCCUGAUGCCAACAGUUGAUAUCUGAAUCAAGUCUUCUCCCCCCUGGAAAACUAAAAAUAAAAUUCUAAGCCCCCAACUGAUGGGACAAAUUCCCUCUUGGCCAAGCGGAUCCCAGGGAAACCUUAAAAACUGAGUUCCUGGCCAUGAAAAGACAGGAGUUGCAACAGGUUGGGGGCCCACACAUGACCUUGAAUGAGAGGGAUGCUCAUCUUCCAGAUGGAUUUGCAGGUGGAUGCAGUGGCCAGAUGAAAUGCUGGGUUGUCUUCCUCUGAGGAAAAGAGUCUCCAAGCAUAAAAUGAUGCUGAAAAGAAAUGAAAUGAAAGGAAGACGAGCCAAACCAUGAAAGUUAAUACUGGCAUUAUGAAAAGUAUUGCUAUGAAUCCAAUUUAUUUAAUUAUAAGUGUUUUUAAUUAAUUUCAAAAGAAGAUGGCCAUCCCCAUCAGUGUUUGGCAGAAUGCCUGCGUUUGAGGAUGAAGAAAAUAUUGUGUGUGUGCACAUGCGCAUGUAAUGCUGUCACGAUGAAAAACGACUUCAAUCAUCAAUUCGAAAUCCUGUUCAAAGUGAAAUCACAUUUGCCUGACAAACAACACAGCAUCUACCAAUUAGAAUCAUGUUUACUUGGCAGAAAGAGCAUUCGUGAAACCAAACACCAGUGUCACAGCCACAGAGGAGAAUUGCAUUUUAUUCGCCUUUUGGUUCUAGCAUAAAACAUAAAAGGUACUCAACUGGUGUCUAAAGAAUGAACGAAUGUAUCAUUUAAUAAAUGACGAACACACAGAGGAAAGAACACGUAGGAGCUGUCUGCAGAAGGUGAGAACAAGUGUCAAAAAGGAAUAAACAAAAUAACAAAAAGAGUAGAUUAGUGGAAAUCCAUAUUGUUCUCAAGCUGCAAACUGAUCCAACGAUGUAGGUCUCACCUCAGUUGGUCCUCAGUGGUAACUGCAAGAUUUGGGGUGGAAAGAAUGGUGGUGCAAAUGCGUGUAAAUAAAGUGUGUGUGUAUUUGAA